CAUGACCAGCUGUCCAGAUUUUAUAAACGGGACCUUUGCAAUGUGAACUGAGCUACAUCAGGCAGGCAGGGGCAGGAAGAUGGUGUCGCAGACCCCAGUCCUCAUGUCCCUGGUGCUCUGGAUCUCUGGUGCUUAUGGGGACAUCGUGAUGACCCAGUCUCCAGACUAUCUGGCUGUGUCUCUGGGCGAGAGGGUCGCCAUCAACUGCAAGUCCAGCCAGAGUCUUUUAUACUCCAACAAUAAGAACUACUUAGCCUGGUACCAGCAGAAACCAGGACAGGGUCCUAAGCUGCUUAUCUCAUGGGCAUCGAGCCGGCCAGCAGAGGUCCCUGACCGAUUCAGUGGCAGUGGAUCUGGGACAGAUUUCACUCUCACCAUCAGUAGCCUGCAUGCUGAAGAUGUGGGACUUUAUUACUGUCGGCAGUAUUACAGCUUUCCUCCCACAGUGCUUCAGCCUCCAACACAAGCCUUCUCCCCACCCAUUUGGGCCAGUGACUCUUUGCUGCAGCAUCUGCUUCCUCUGCGCACAGCGCCAAACAUGCAUGCUUCCUCUGUCUGCCGGGGAGGUCACACUAUUGAUUUAUUCCUUGGAGGGUUUGCAGGGCCCAGGAUAAAAUUAAGGAAUUUGGCUUUUUCUGGAUGUUUUUGUAGAAGAUUAUUGAAGCAAAAUGUUCCAAAGAUCCCUUAGAGACAUUUUCAGGAGUUUUCGUGUUACAGGAACCUGCAUGUUUCACAUGGACAGAUCACAUGACCAAGCCAAAUACAUUUAUCUUUACUCUCUAGAACGGGGUCCACUGAGUUUUACACACCGAAUGGUCAAUUCCUUCUUCCAUGCGCCUCCUUGACUCUGGAAAGUUUCUUUUUGGAUUCCUAACUCUCUUGGUCUUUUUUCUUUAUCUGCAAUCCUUCCCAAUAUUAAACCCUGAUCCUUCUUAUUCAUAGCCUCCCACAUAGAAGGUAGCAUCCUUCUGUGGCUUUUUCCUUCCAGACACCCUGUUUUCCAACAAAACCCAUCUGGUCAGUGUUGCUAAAAAUUCUUACCCACUCUACCUCCUUUUGUUCUGCCUUUUCAUCCCCCUCAAUUUCUUUCCAUCAUAUUAAUAUUUUCAAAGGCAAUUUUCUAAUUCUUUAACACUAUUACACUAGA